rnacentral:rRNA from 1 species
UACGUAGGGUGCAAGCGUUGUCCGGAAUUAUUGGGCGUAAAGGGCUCGUAGGCGGUCUGUCGCGUCGGGAGUGAAAACUCAGGGCUUAACCCUGAGCCUGCUUCCGAUACGGGCAGACUAGAGGUAUGCAGGGGAGACUGGAAUUCCUGGUGUAGCGGUGGAAUGCGCAGAUAUCAGGAGGAACACCGGUGGCGAAGGCGGGUCUCUGGGCAGUAACUGACGCUGAGGAGCGAAAGCGUGGGAGCGAACAGG